rnacentral:rRNA from 1 species
AGCGAACGCUGGCGGCAGGCUUAACACAUGCAAGUCGAGCGGGCCCUUUCGGGGGUCAGCGGCAGACGGGUGAGUAACACGUGGGAACGUGCCCUUCGGUUCGGAAUAACUCAGGGAAACUUGAGCUAAUACCGGAUACGCCCUUAUGGGGAAAGGUUUACCGCCGAAGGGUCGGCCCGCGUCUGAUUAGCUAGUUGGUGGGGUAACGGCCUACCAAGGCGACGAUCAGUAGCUGGUCUGAGAGGACGAUCAGCCACACUGGGACUGAGACACGGCCCAGACUCCUACGGGAGGCAGCAGUGGGGAAUAUUGGACAAUGGGUGCAAGCCUGAUCCAGCCAUGCCGCGUGAGUGAUGAAGGCCUUAGGGUUGUAAAGCUCUUUUGUCCGGGACGAUAAUGACGGUACCGGAAGAAUAAGCCCCGGCUAACUUCGUGCCAGCCGCCGCGGUAA